UACGUAGGGGGCAAGCGUUGUCCGGAUUUAUUGGGCGUAAAGAGCGUGUAGGCGGCUAUACAGGUCCGCUGUGAAAAACUCGAGGCUCAACCUCGAGACGUCGGUGGAAACCUAUGGCUAGAGUCCGGAAGAGGAGAGUGGAAUUCCUGGUGUAGCGGUGAAAUGCGCAGAUAUCAGGAAGAACACCCGUGGCGAAGGCGGCUCUCUGGGGACGGUACUGACGCUGAGACGCGAAAAAGCGUGGGGGAGCGAACAGG
rnacentral:rRNA from 1 species